GACAGUGUGGUAUAGUGGUUUAAACAUUGGACUCCAACUCUGAAGAUCAGGAUUCAAAUCCCCGCUUGGAUA